AUAUGCUUGAAGGCAGACGUGCCAUGCAGUCGACGGCAGCACAGGCGAUGUCAUUCGCUCACUGUGGGCUGAGCUGAGCUGAACGGAUGAGUGAUGCAUCCAUAACGGGCCUGGCCAUGGGGGAUGGACCGGCGAGGAAACUAACGCUCCUACCGCGAUCUACCGAUGAAAGAAAGGGAUCGAUCUUCCUACCUCUAUCGGGUCGAUGGAUGGCUGAUCAACUAGCUGGUGGGGUAAAGGCUGGCCUACGCGACCAACCAUCGAUGGUUGGACAGAAAGAACGAUCACCCUGGCUGUGACAGAGACCCCGCACUCACUCCUAAGGGAGGCAUGGGUGAUUUUGAAUGGACAAUGGGCGCCUGACUGAUCCAUGCCUGCCGUGUGAGUGAAGCCUUCCUUCUGGUUGUACUUUUGUUUAUCAAGAAAUCCUUGCCGUUGGAUAAUACCCGGGAUGACUGACGGUACCUAAUAAAAUAACGGCCGGCUAACUUCCUGCCCCGCAACCGCGGUAAUACGAAGGGUGAUCCGUUAAUCAAAAUUAAAUUACUGUAAAGCGUGCGUGCGCGGGGAUGUCUUACCGAUGUGCUGUCCCUCCCCUGGCUCUGCCUGCUGAGCAUGGGUGACUGCCUGGAGGGCUAUGGUGUGACAGAGGAUGGUUCAAUUCCCGGUGUAGAAAUGAAUAUGUAGAUGAUGCAUCAGAAUAGAACAUGGCGAAGGCAACGCCCCCAUCUGAUACUGACUGACUCUGAGACACCAUGGCGAGCGGAGCAGAUUAGAUUCCCUGCCCUGGCACUCCCCGCACUAUGUCAUGGCUGAAUGGCAGGUCAUUGUCUUGAACUCGGAGAUCUAUGUCAAACGUGACGCUUACCGCUGAAGUCGCCGCCUGCGGGACUACAGGAUUCAAGAUCGAAAGUCUUGAGAGUGACCCGGCAGCACCCCGUGGAUGAUGUAGUAUGAUUUUUAAUUACACGCAACACCAAAAUCCUUCCUUGACAUGUGCACGUAUCCACUUUCAGCUGGAGAUGCGCCAAUGCCGUACCCGAAUGCCAGGUGCUGUGCUGCUGGCUCCCGGUCAUGUCGUGAGAUGAUGUGUUGAGUCGUUAAGUCACGAACGCAGCGCACCCUUGUCUCGACCAUGCUAUGCCAGACCGCUACAGGUGAGACUGCUAGUGACACUGCCGAUGACAGAGCGGGAUGACGUCAGGGUCUGCUGCACCUCUAUGGUGUAGCGCUUACGGCCAUGGCUACCACGCUCGCGAACAAGGGAUGGUGCAGGACCGCUAGCUGGGACGCAAUGCCUGAAACCAAUCCGAAAUCCGGAUGACAGUCCUGGAAAUUGGCUUAAUGAACUUCGGAAUUGGUUGGAAUUGCAGAUUAAGCAUGCCGCGGUGAAUACGUUCCCGGGCCUUGUACACACCGCCCGUCACACCAUGGGAGUGAGUUGCUCCAGAAGCGCGUUAGUCCUAACCGCAAGAGGGCGAUCACAGAGAUCAUGAUUUCUCCCUCGAA
rnacentral:rRNA from 1 species